GCAAAUGCAAGGAUGGCAGGGGGAAAUAGUACAUAUCGCUAAUUAUGUAAUCACCAGUACAAGUAGGUCUAGGUUUCUUGAUCUUAACUUAUUCUCUCCUCCUCCAUAAAGUCCAAAGUGACAUGACAGAAGCUACCUUACCUUUGAUCUCUGGUAUAUUGCAAAAGCAGAUGGCCGACACACACACACACACACACACACACA
rnacentral:lncRNA from 1 species